rnacentral:lncRNA from 1 species
GUACAGUCACAUACCCUAUAAGGUGUGUGUGUGAGUGUGUACAUAUGGGUGCCUGUGUAUAUGAGUGCAUGCACGUGUGUGCCCACCUACACAUGUGCAUGCAUGUGUGUGUGUGUGUGCGCGUGUGCAUGUGCCUAUAUAUGUGUGUGUGAGUGUGUGUAUAUAUGUACAUGUGCAUGUCUGGGGCUCAAAUUUUCAGACCUGUGUAUGUGAGACAUAAAGUCUAUCUCUUUGAUUCACACCCAGCUCCAUAAGCGUUUCUGAGGCAGGCGUACUGGCCACAUUGCCGUGGCAGGCUUCGCUGGCAGUGUGGUAAUUUCUCACACAAACAAAAGCCACAUAGAUGGGGUUUGUCCUAGUGAGAGCCACCAUGGCUGUGAUGAAACACCUUGAACCAAAAGCAGCUUGGGGAGGGAAGGGUUUGCUCAGCUUACAUCCCACACUGCUGUUCAUCAUCCGAGGGAGGUAGGAUGGAAGAAACUCAGGGCUGGAACCUGAGGCUGGAGCUGAUGCAGAGGCCAUGGAGGGGUGCUGCUUACUGGCUUGCUCAUCAUGGCUUGCUCAGUCUGCUUUCUUUUAGAACCAGGGCCACCUGCACAGGGGUGGCACUGACAAUCAGCUGGACCCUCCCCUGUCAAUCACCAACUUAAAAAAUGCCACACAGGCUUGCCUAUAGCCAGAUCUUUUGGAGGCAGUUUUUUUUUUUUUAAAUGAUUAUUAUUUAUUUUAUAUAUGUGAGUACACUGAGGUGUCUUCAGACACACCAGAAGAGGGCAUCAGAUCCCAUUACAGAUGGCUGUGAGCCACCAUGUGGUUGCUGGGAAUUGAACUCAGGAUCUCUGGAAGAGCAGUCAGUGCUCUUAACCUCUGAGCCAUCUCUCCAGCCCAUUGGAUGCAGUUUCUUAGUUGAAGUUUCCUCAAUUACGUUCCUUCAAAGAACUCUAGCUUGUGUCCGGUUGAUAUAAAACUAGUCACCACAGAGUUGUAAUUUAUGAAGUUAGGAUUAGGGCUUUAGUAUGUCUUGCUGGUCUCUGAAGAGUAAAGGCCAGUCGGGGCUACCCUGACAGACCUUGUCUCAACUAUGAAACCGAGAAGGGUGGUGUGGGAGGAGUGAACUUGUUUUGCUCAAUAUAGAGAACAUCGUAGGCCUAGGGUAAGUUUUAAAGAGAUUAAAUCCUUGUUGAUUAUGCCGGAUUUUUAAGGAAUUAAUGUUUAUGAAUAAUACUCUUAGGAAUUAGUCUUAUCAUUUGGAUUGGGGCAUACACUUAUAAACAUUGUGAAAUAUUAAAGCUCUUAAGAGCCCAUGUUGGCAUGCAUGCUAUGACAUGAUGCAACCAUACACUAAUGAGGAGUGCUGACAGCCGGCAGAAGCUUUCCGAAAGGCGAUGUGUGUUGUACGUGUUUGUGGUUAUUAACUCAGUACUUUAACUCUAGUUGAGAACAGGGUCUUGCUAUGUAGCUCUGGUGGCCUUGAACUCUGUCCACCUAUAGAUGUGUCACCACACUCUGCAGUAAUCUGUUCUAGAUUUAGCUUUGCCAGGCAUACAUGUGAUUGCUGAUGUGAUAAGAUGCUAAUUGCAGUACCCAUUAUAAAGGCAAAAAUGGAAAUGAUUUAAAUAUCUAACAAUAGGGACAUGUUUAUUUAUGAAGCAUGCCUGUGAUGGUACGAAGCAUCAAAUCUCAAUGACGCCAGGGACGACACUCCAGAGCUAAACUUGUUUUAAAAUUUUUAUUUCUACCUUGGGGAUGAAGGGGAAGCAAAAAGAAUAUGGAAAGAUAUUGGAAGAAAUUGCAAUUUUGAACAGGGAAGUUAAAGAUGAUUUCAAUUCUUUCAUAUUUCCUGAGAAUGUUUUUCAUUUCUCAGUAAGUGGAUUUACUUUUAAAUCAGGAGAGGGAUUACAGGAAAGUGGCUGGGCUGGAAAGGGUUAGGUCACUCUUAAGCUGUUCCCAUUCCAUCCGGGAACUCAGAGCGUUUCACAAGCACUAGGUGAGGCCUGAACUCGUCUAUCCUGCUUUCUUCUUGUUGCAACCUGACAGGUAGCUGUGAUUACUCCACGGAUGAGUAAGCCCUUCAGGGAUGAUUAGGAACGCAAUCAACUUCCUAGAGCUAGAAAGUGAUAGAGCUUGGAUUUGAACCUGGGCUGGUUUCCAGGUCAAGGGCAUAGACUGCUGAAUGAUGGAAGCUGAUGACCAGGUCUGCAGAGGAAGGAAGAACUCUUAUGACAAAGUGUUCUCAAUGGUCUGGCCUUUCUCACAUCCAUCCUAUAGCCAGACAAGGAUGAGUCUGGAGGUAAUUGCAUUUGCUUUGCGAAUGGUCCAGAUGAGCUGCAACUUUGUAGCAUUAUGACGUUGAGCUAGGAACUCUGAGGGAAGUGUACUUUGCAUGAAGGUAAGAGAUAUACAGUGUGGUGCAGACCUUGCCACUCAAAAAUUUCCUACCCUCACAUUGGACACCCUGUGGCCUCCACAUGGAAUUCCAGCUCCAGCCAAACAAAGCGUCUUUAACUUUUCACUUCACUAUGUUGGCUGCAAGCACCUUAUAAAUUAUAAAUUGGAGACAAAUGGACUUGCUUGACCCACCCUCCAUGCUCCUGCUUUUACUUCCCUUAUCUCUCAUUUUUUCCAUCUUCAAGUAAGAUUCGUUCCAUUUUCUGC